AGAGAGAGACAUGCGCGCAUAUCAAUAAGCGGAGGAAAAGAAACUAACUAGGAUUCCCUCAGUAACGGCGAGUGAAGCGGGAAGAGCUCAAAUUUGAAAUCUUCAAGGUUCUACCUUGACGAAUUGUAGUUUAAAGAAGUGUUUUCUGUUGAGGUUUUGGUAAAAGUUCUUUGGAAUAGGACAUCAUAGAGGGUGAGAAUCCCGUAUUUGACCAUUACUUUCAGCUUUGUGAUACACUUUCAAAGAGUCGGAUUGUUUGGGAAUGCGGUCCAAAAUGGGUGGUAAAUUUCAUCUAAAGCUAAAUAUUGGCGAGAGACCGAUAGCGAACAAGUACCGUGAGGGAAAGAUGAAAAGAACUUUGAAAAGAGAGUUAAACAGUACGUGAAAUUGUCAAAAGGGAAGCGUUUGACACCAGUGUUGUUUUCUCGAAAAUCAAUUAAAAAAGGCAGGAUUUUGUGUUGUAUUGACUUUAUCAGCUUUCUGCACUCUUUUCUUGUCUUUUUUAAUGCACUUUUCGUUUAACAAGUCAACAUCAAUUUCUUUUGUUGUAAAGGGUCAUUGGAAGGUGGCUUUCUUUUCGGAGAAAGUGUUUAUAGCCUUUGGCCUCUGCAAUCGGAGAGAUUGAGGUCUGCAGCGUAGAUCCUUCGGGGUUAGAUACAUUUGUGCUAAGUUAUAGCCUUUUCAUAGACAACUUGUUGACUAUGAUUAGUCAUUGUAGCUUACUCGCUUAUGUUAUUUUACCUACGCUUAGGAUGUUGAUGUGAUACUGCGAGC
rnacentral:rRNA from 1 species